rnacentral:snoRNA from 1 species
CCUCCUUUUCUUGGCAGGGACUGGGCAUGUGUUCGAGGUCCCCAAUAUGGACAGAGGCAGAAGGAAAACGCUCUGGCCCCCUCAGCAUCGUGUCUUUGGUGCCAGGGGCAUCCCAUCAGCAGGUUCUAUCCUCAAGCACCGGGAUACCA